rnacentral:rRNA from 1 species
UACGUAGGGGGCAAGCGUUGUCCGGAAUCAUUGGGCGUAAAGCGCGUGUAGGCGGUUUUUUAAGUCGAGUGUGAAAUCCCUGGGCUCAACCCAGGAAGUGCAUUCGAAACUAACUGACUAGAAGAUGGCAGAGGAAGGUGGAAUUCCAAGUGUAGAGGUGAAAUUCGUAGAUAUUUGGAGGAAUACCGGUGGCGAAGGCGGCCUUCUGGACCAUUCUUGACGCUGAGACGCGAAAGCGUGGGGAGCAAACAGG